GAAAAUAUUACAAAUGAAAUCGGUCUCGAAAACCGGAGUAGGGGCAACUCUACCGGGGGUUCAAAUCCCCCUCUUUCCGCCA
rnacentral:tRNA from 4 species